rnacentral:misc_RNA from 1 species
UCUCCGUUGGUGAACCUGCGGAGGGAUCAUUACAGAGUUAUCUAACUCCCAAACCUAUGUGUACUUACCAUUUGUUGCCUCGGCAGAGCCUACCCGUUAACUGUUCGGAGAAGCUACCCUGUAGCUAACCUGUAACGGCCUACCCUGUAACGCACUGCCGGUGGACUAUUAAACUCUUGUUAUUUUAUAGUAAUCUGAUCGUCUUAUUUUAAUAAGUCAAAACUUUCAACAACGGAUCUCUUGGUUCUGGCAUCGAUGAAGAACGCAGC